rnacentral:tRNA from 1 species
UAAAUAAACUGCUGAAGCCUAAUGUGUUUGAUUUACAAAAUCAAUAUUAAAAAUUUAUUUGA